GAUGAACGCUGGCGGCGUGCUUAACACAUGCAAGUCGAACGGGAUCCAAGGGGUGCUUGCACUUUUUGGUGAGAGUGGCGAACGGGUGAGUAACACGUGAGUAACCUGUCCUUUUCUUUGGGAUAAGCAUUCGAAAGGGUGUUUAAUACCUUAUGUUCUGUCUGCCUCGCAUGGGGUGGGUGGGAAAGGCUUUGGCCGGAUUUGGGUGGGCUCGCGGUCUAUCAGCUUGUUGGUGGGGUGAUGGCUUACCAAGGCUUUGACGGGUAGCCGGCCUGAGAGGGUGGUCGGUCACAUUGGGACUGAGAUACGGCCCAGACGCCUGCGGGAGGCAGCAGCGGGGGAUAUUGCACAAUGGGCGAAAGCCUGAUGCAGCGACGCCGCGUGGGGGAUGAAGGCCUUCGGGUUGUAAACUUCUUUUGCUCUGAACAAGGCAUGCCAGUGGGUGUGUUGAGUGUAGGGGUUGAUUAGCGCCGGCUAACUACGUG
rnacentral:rRNA from 1 species